ensembl:snRNA U6 U6 spliceosomal RNA
GGGCUCACUCAGCAACAUAUGUACUAAAUUUGAAACAAUACAGAUAAGAUUAGCAUGGUCCCUAUGCAAGGAUGACACACAAAUUCCUGAAAAAUUAUCUUUCUUA